UGCCAGCAGCCGCGGUAAUACGGGGGAUGCAAGCGUUAUCCGGAAUCAUUGGGCGUAAAGCGCCUGCAGGUUGUUUAAUAAGUCUGUUGUUAAAGACUAGGGCUUAACCCUAGGAAAGCAAUGGAAACUACUAGACUUGAGUAUGAUAGGGGUAGAGGGAAUUUCUAGUGUAGCGGUGAAAUGCGUAGAUAUUAGAAUGAACACCAGUGGCGAAGGCGGCUCACUGGCUCGAUACUGACGCUGAGGUACGAAAGUGUGGGGAGCAAACAGGAUUAGAUA
rnacentral:rRNA from 1 species